GGAGAGAUGGCUUAGUGGUUGAUAGCUCCGGUCUUGAAAACCUGUAUAGUUGUUUGCAAACUGUUGAGGGUUCGAAUCCCUCUCUCUCCC